UACGAAGGGGGCUAGCGUUGCUCGGAAUCACUGGGCGUAAAGGGCGCGUAGGCGGUCAGCACAAGUCAGUUGUGAAAUCUCCGGGCUUAACUCGGAAAGGUCAACUGAUACUGUGCGACUAGAGUGCAGAAGGGGCAACUGGAAUUCUCGGUGUAGCGGUGAAAUGCGUAGAUAUCUGGAGGAACACCGGUGGCGAAGGCGGCUCACUGGCCCGAUACUGACGCUGAGGCACGAAAGCGUGGGGAGCAAACAGG
rnacentral:rRNA from 1 species